rnacentral:rRNA from 1 species
UACGGAGGGUGCAAGCGUUGCUCGGAAUUACUGGGCGUAAAAGGGCGUGUAGGCGGUUUCGUAUGUCUGGCGUGAAAGCCCCGGGCGUCACCUCGGAGGUGCGUCGGAAACUGCGAGACUAGAGUCCCGGAGAGGGAGGUGGAAUUCCAGGUGUAGCGGUGAAAUGCGUAGAUAUCUGGAAGAACACCGGUGGCGAAAGCGGCCUCCUGGACGGUGACUGACGCUGAGACGCGAAAGCGUGGGGAGCAAACA